rnacentral:rRNA from 1 species
UACGUAGGGUGCAAGCGUUGUCCGGAAUUAUUGGGCGUAAAGAGCUCGUAGGCGGUCUGUCGCGUCGGCUGUGAAAACCCGGAGCUCAACUCCGGGCCUGCAGUCGAUACGGGCAGACUGGAGUUCGGCAGGGGAGACUGGAAUUCCUGGUGUAGCGGUGAAAUGCGCAGAUAUCAGGAGGAACACCAGUGGCGAAGGCGGCCCGCUGGGCAGUGGCUGACGCUGAGGCGCGACAGCGUGGGGAGCAAACAGG